GGGCUUUUAGCUCAGUUGGUUAGAGCAACAGACUCAUAAUCUGGAGGUCCAAGGUUCAAGCCCUUGAUGGCCCA
rnacentral:tRNA from 2 species